CUGCAGCUUCAGCUGUGCAACAAGCUGGUGGCACUCCAGGCCACACUGGAGAAGCCCCAGGAGGGCUUGGAGUUUGCCUACAUGGCCCUAGCACUCAGCAUCACUCUGGGUAAGUCCCCUGAGCCCCCACCCUGCCAGGACCCACACUUUGCCAGAGCCCAGCCUCCAGGUCUGCAGGCCAGGAGCUGAAACAGCUGCUGGAUUUUCCUGGUCUCCUGUCCAGGCAGGCAGAUCUGCCCAACGGGCUUCCCCGUCCGGCUGUGGGGCACAGCCCAAGGUCUCUCACGCAGUGCAGAGCUCCCUGCCUGCCUGAGCUCUGCUUCCUCUGCCUGUUCCUGCUGCUGACCACAAGGGCCGCCCAGUGUGCCCUCUGCCUUCCAGACAUGCCAGGCAUCUCAUUGGUCCCUGUGCCAGGCUGAGUGGCACAUUCCCUUUCUCUUGUGCCCUUCCCACCAUCAUCAACCACACAGCUCUCUGGCUGAUAAAAUCCCAGUUCCCCUUCCAGCAGUCUGCCCCUUAAGGCCGGGCAUCCCCUGGUGCUGUGCCAGGGUCGUCUGUCCCCCUCCAGAGACAGGGAACCCUAGGCAGGCCACAUGCCCCAGCGCCUUGUGCCCCGUGGCCCAUUACACAGUAGGUGUGCAGCUGACUCCCCAAGGUAGGGGGCUCUGAUCGUGCCACACCCAGGAGGAGUCGGAUGUCACGUCUGUGGGUUGCCUGGAGCCGGGGAGCCCAGGAGCACCUGGACUGCAUGGCUUUUGGGUUCUCCUGGUUAAAACCAGUGAGCAAAGGCAGGUGGCUCUGUGUAGACACAGAACUGGGCCAUCCAAGUCCGACUUUCCAAAGCCUCACAGUAGACAGGGGCAGGCCUUAUUAGUUCUGCUUUGCACAUGGGAAAGUGAGUCUGGGAACCUGGAAGGGACUGGCCAGAGCUGCCCAGGUGACCACAGGUGCCUGGAGGCAAGCCAGGCAUGCAGCCCGGGGUCUGCAUACCUGCUCCUGAGGGGCCUGAGCCCUCCCUGCCCCAGGGAGCCACGUCCUCACACCUGCACCUUUGGCCUGCACCCAGGGGACCAGUGAACGAGCGCAUGGCCUACCACGGCUGGCCGCCCUGCACCACCGGCUGAGCCAUGGCAAGCUGGUGGAGCACUUCUACCUCAAGGCCCUGUAGCUCUGCAACUCGCUGCUGGAGUUCGACGAGGAGACCGUCUAUUACGUGAACAUGUAUCUGGUGCUCGGUGACAUCAUCUUCUAUGACCUGAAGGACCCGUUUGAUGCAGCCGGGUACUACCAGCUGGCCCUGGCAGCCGCCAUGGACCUGGGCAACAAGAAGGGCACAGCUGAAGACCUACACGUGGCCGGCCACCAUCUCCCACAACUUCCUCCUGGACCGUGAGAAGUUUAUCCUCUUCUACCAGAAGGCCAGGACCUUCACCACAGAGCUCAACAUCCGCAGGGUCAACCUACCUCCUCUGCCACUCUGCGGGUGGGCCCCCUGGUUGGCCCUCAGCCACCCUCGCUGAGGACAGCAUCCAAGGGAAUGGGUUUUGUGCAAGGAGGAUGGUCUCCUGCCUCUCCUGGUGUCUCCGUGGCUCAUUUUCUGGGAAAUGGAGGCAUGAAAGCAGGGUUCAAAUAGCAA